CACCGAAGUCAUAACAAAAAAGGUGAGAGUGAGGGGAUGCAAUCCCCAAUACAGAAAUAAAACCAAAGAAGAAGAAAUCAAAAGGAAGGGCUCCAGUUGUGUUAGAACCAGCCUGGAUCGCCGCUUGAUACAACUUGUCAACAAAGAUGUUAAUGGUAAUGCUAGCUGACGUCAAGGUUUAAGCUAGUUAGCCAUGAAGCAGCUCUGCUACCUGAACGUAUCGUUAACCCAACCACAGGUAUUUUCCUGACCUUGCCUGUUGUGGACCUCCAGGCUGAAUAAAGGCGUGUGUUGGACCACCCAAUCGAGACUGCUAACAUCACCUGCCAACCAAUCGCCGGCUCCGGUCAGUGGGACACCGCUCCUGGAUUCAUAU